AUGGUCGUCACGAACAAAGCGCGUGCGAGAGAGAUGAGACUGAUAACCGCUCUCUUCGUGCUCAGCUGCCUCCUCAAGACAACGACGACGAGCCCCGCCACCUGGGCGUACUCACGUGAUGAUGCGCUCGCCUGGAGGCCGGCCUCCUCCUUACUCCACCAGCUCCGCCACCUCGGGGUCCGCGCGCUGAUCCGUGACGACGCCGAGGCCACCGCGCUGGCGUCCGCCGACUUCGGCAACAUGUCGGACGCCCAACCGCCGGCGGCGGCCGUGCUUUACCCGUCGUGCCCCGAGGACAUCGCCACGCUGCUGCGCGCCUCGUGCACGCGCCCCUCCCCGUUCCCCGUGUCUGCCCGGGGCUGCGGCCACUCGACCCGAGGCCAGGCGUCCGCACCCCGCGGCGUCGUCGUCGACAUGAUGUCGCUCGGGUGCCACGCCGGCGGCUCAGCCAGCCGCCUCUCCGUCUCGGUCGACGGCCGCUACGUCGACGCCGGUGGCGAGCAGCUGUGGGUGGACGUGCUGCGUGCCGCCCUGGCGCACGGACUCACCCCGAGGUCGUGGACCGACUACCUUCACCUCACCGUCGGAGGCACCCUCUCCAACGCGGGCAUCAGCGGCCAGGCCUUCCGCCACGGCCCCCAGAUAUCCAACGUCCAAGAACUCGACGUGAUCACCGGGCUCGGGGAGAUGGUGAGAUGCUCAAAGGAAAAGCACGGGGACCUGUUCGACGCCGUGCUGGGCGGGCUGGGGCAGUUCGGCGUCAUAACGCGGGCGCGCAUCCCACUGACGCCGGCGCCGGCGAGGGCGCGCUGGGUUCGGCUCUUCUACACGGGCGCCGCGGCGCUCACGGGCGACCAGGAGCGGCUCAUCGGCGUCGACCUCGGCACCGCUGUCUCCGGGCUCAUGGACUACGUGGAGGGCUCGGUGGUGCUCGCGGACCAGGGCCGCGUGGGCAGCUGGCGGUCGUCCUUCUUCUCGGACGCCGACGCGGCGCGCAUCGCCGCGCUCGCUGAGGAGGUGGGCGGGGUCCUUUACUGCCUCGAGGGAGCGCUGUACUACGGCGGCGCCGCUCGCGGCGGCGAGGCUGACGUCGAUCAGAGGCUGAAUGUGCUGCUGGGGGAGCUGCGGUACGCGCGCGGGUUCGCGUUCGUGCAGGACGUGUCGUACGCGGGGUUCCUUGACCGGGUGCGCGACGGCGAGCUCAAGCUCCGCGCCUCCGGCCUCUGGGACGUGCCGCAUCCCUGGCUCAACCUCUUCCUCCCGCGCUCCCGCGUCCUCGACUUCGCCGCCGGCGUCUUCCACGGCAUCCUCCGCCGUGACAGCACCACCGGCGCCAUGGGACCCGUCCUCGUCUACCCCAUGAACCGGAACAGGUGGGACGCCGACACGUCCGCGGUGCUCCCGGAGGAGGAGGAGGUGUUCUACACCGUGGGGAUCCUGCGGUCGUCGGUGCCGGCGUCGACGGACGGUGGCCGCCAGCUGCUGAGGCGCCUGGAGGAGCAGAACGAGGACAUCUUACGAUUCUGCGAGGAGGCCGGGAUACCGUGCGUGCAGUACCUGCCGUACUACGCCGACCAGGACGGGUGGGAGAAGAAGCACUUUGGUCUAGCCAAGUGGGCCAGAUUCGUGGAUCGGAAGAGGAAGUAUGAUCCCAAGGCGAUCCUGUCCCGUGGUCAGAGAAUUUUCACCUCCCCGCUCGCUUGA
rnacentral:rRNA from 1 species